UACGUAGGGGGCAAGCGUUGUCCGGAUUUAUUGGGCGUAAAGAGCUCGUAGGCGGUUUGGUUAGUCGGAUGUGAAAUCUCCAGGCUCAACCUGGAGGGGUCAUUCGAUACUGCCAUGACUAGAGGUCGGUAGGGGAGUGUGGAAUUCCUGGUGGAGCGGUGAAAUGCGCAGAUAUCAGGAGGAACACCCGUAGCGAAGGCGGCACUCUGGGCCGAUACUGACACUGAGGAGCGAAAGCGUGGGGAGCGAACAGG
rnacentral:rRNA from 1 species